GAUGAAGAACGUAGCGAAAUGCGAUACUUGGUGUGAAUUGCAGAAUCCCGUGAACCAUCGAGUCUUUGAACGCAAGUUGCGCCCGAAGCCAUCAGGUUGAGGGCACGUCUGCCUGGGCGUCACAUAUCGUUGCCCAAUGCCUAUUGCAGUGCAAUAGGAAUUUCUAGGGCGAAUGAUGGCUUCCCGUGAGCGUUGUUGCCUCGCGGUUGGUUGAAAAUUGAGUCCUUGGUAGGGUGUGCCAUGGUAGAUGGUGGUCGAGUUAGAACGAUACCGAUCAUGUGCAUGCUCCCCAAAAUAUGGCCUCUAUGACCCACACGCGUCUUUUGACGCUCAUGACGAGACCUCAGGUCAGGCGGGGCUACCCGCUGAAUUUAAGCAUAUCAAUAAGCGGAGGA
rnacentral:misc_RNA from 1 species